CAUUAAAGAAUUGCCCCGUUUUUUGAAAUGGGUUCUAUUCCCAAACCGUGUCUAUAUACCUUUGUUGCUUUGGCAGGCCGCCGCUUAUGCGUUGGCUCCGGCUGACUGCGCCUGCCAGAGGACCCAAACUCGUUUGUUAGUGAUGUCUGAGUACUAUAUAAUAGUUAAAACUUUCAACAACGGAUCUCUUGGUUCUGGCAUCGAUGAAGAACGCAGCGAAAUGCGAUAAGUAAUGUGAAUUGCAGAAUUCAGUGAAUCAUCGAAUCUUUGAACGCACAUUGCGCCCCUUGGUAUUCCGAGGGGCAUGCCUGUUCGAGCGUCAUUAUAACCACUCAAGCCUCGGCUUGGUCUUGGGGUUCGCGGUCUCGCGGCUCUUAAAGUCAGUGGCAGUGCCGUCUGGCUCUAAGCGUAGUAAUUCUCUCGCUAUAGAGUUCCGGUGGUUACUUGCC
rnacentral:misc_RNA from 1 species